rnacentral:rRNA from 1 species
UACGUAGGGUGCAAGCGUUAAUCGGAAUUACUGGGCGUAAAGGGUGCGCAGGCGGUUCUGUAAGUCAGAUGUGAAAUCCCCGGGCUUAACCUGGGAAUUGCGUUUGAAACUACAGAGCUGGAGUGUAGCAGAGGGGGGUGGAAUUCCAUGUGUAGCAGUGAAAUGCGUAGAGAUAUGGAAGAACAUCGAUGGCGAAGGCAACCCCCUGGGUUAACACUGACGCUCAUGCACGAAAGCGUGGGGAGCAAACAGG